UGCCCAGCAACUCCUAUCUCUACCUCCACGCGGUACCGGCCGGAAACUAUGAGCAACCUUAGGGAAGA
rfam:Aedes albopictus isolate Foshan contig71844, whole genome shotgun sequence.